rnacentral:tRNA from 1 species
GCAUUGGUGGAUCAGUGGUAGAAUUCUCACCUGCAACGCGGGGCCCAGGGAAGCCCGGGUUCGAUUCCCGGCCAAUGCA